rnacentral:misc_RNA from 1 species
AAAAAGAGGCCUGAAUGCAUAAAAGAAAAGUUGGAGAAUGACCCAUAUAGACUUUGCAAGAACAUUUUUCACUACAUGGGCUUCAGUUUGGCUCGGGAUGUCCAUAUCAAUUCCAUCAACUCCUUGGAAGCGAUGGUGCUCAAGGUGAUACUUUUGGAAGGUUACAGACAUGGGUACACCAACGGGAAGGUUGGCAAAAAUUCCAAGCCAACGGUUGUAGGUUGGAGUAGAGAAAGCAAGGUUGUGACUUAGUUCAUGAAUGGCCAGGAAGAGAUUAUGGUUCAG